rnacentral:rRNA from 1 species
CAGUAGCCACGGUAAUACGAAGGGUGCAAGCGUUAAUCGGAAUUACUGGGCGUAAAGCGUGCGUAGGCGGUUUGUUAAGUUUGCUGUGAAAUCCCCGGGCUCAACCUGGGAAUGGCAGUGGAUACUGGCAAGCUAGAGUGUGUCAGAGGAUGGUGGAAUUCCCGGUGUAGCGGUGAAAUGCGUAGAGAUCGGGAGGAACAUCAGUGGCGAAGGCGGCCAUCUGGGACAACACUGACGCUGAGGCACGAAAGCGUGGGGAGCAAACAGGAUUAGAUACCCCCGUAGUCCCUGUCUCUUAUAC